UGGGGAAUAUUGGACAAUGGGCGCAAGCCUGAUCCAGCAAUGCCGCGUGGGUGAAGAAGGCCUUCGGGUUGUAAAGCCCUUUUGUACGGGAAGAAAUCAUCCGGGUUAAUACCCUGGGUGGAUGACGGUACCGUAAGAAUAAGCACCGGCUAACUUCGUGCCAGCAGCCGCGGUAAUACGAAGGGUGCAAGCGUUAAUCGGAAUUACUGGGCGUAAAGCGUGCGUAGGUGGUUGUUUAAGUCUGUCGUGAAAGCCCUGGGCUCAACCUGGGAAUGGCGAUGGAUACUGGGCGACUGGAGUGCGGUAGAGGAUGGCGGAAUUCCCGGUGUAGCGGUGAAAUGCGUAGAGAUCGGGAGGAACAUCCGUGGCGAAGGCGGCCAUCUGGACCAGCACUGACACU
rnacentral:rRNA from 1 species